rnacentral:misc_RNA from 1 species
AACCAUUCUCACCUGCGGCUAGACCUGCGGAAGGAUCAUUACAUGGCGGAGAAGGUGGGCACCUGGCCAAAAAAAACUCCAGGUUGUCAUGCCUUCACGCUCUUCCACCCUUGUCUAUUUGUACCUUUUGUCGUUCCCUCGGCGGGUUUCGACCCGCCGGCGGUAACCAUUGAAAACCCUUUUUGCAGUUUAGCAUCCAAUUCUUCUGAUCAAAUAUCAAAUCGUUACAACUUUCAGCAA